rnacentral:rRNA from 1 species
AUUGAACGCUGGCGGCAGGCUUAACACAUGCAAGUCGAACGAUGAUUAUCUAGCUUGCUAGAUAUGAUUAGUGGCGGACGGGUGAGUAACAUUUAGGAAUCUGCCUAGUAGUGGGGGAUAGCUCGGGGAAACUCGAAUUAAUACCGCAUACGACCUACGGGUGAAAGGGGGCGGAAGCUCUUGCUAUUAGAUGAGCCUAAAUCAGAUUAGCUAGUUGGUGGGGUAAAGGCCCACCAAGGCGACGAUCUGUAACUGGUCUGAGAGGAUGAUCAGUCACACCGGAACUGAGACACGGUCCGGACUCCUACGGGAGGCAGCAGUGGGGAAUAUUGGACAAUGGGGGCAACCCUGAUCCAGCCAUGCCGCGUGUGUGAAGAAGGCCUUUUGGUUGUAAAGCACUUUAAGCAGGGAGGAGAGGCUAAUGGUUAAUACCCAUUAGAUUAGACGUUACCUGCAGAAUAAGCACCGGCUAACUCUGUGCCAGCCGCCGCCGUAAAAC